AGUGAACGCUGGCGGCGUGCCUAACACAUGCAAGUCGAGCGAAGUGGUAGCUGUAGCAAUACAGUGUACGCUUAGCGGCAGACGGGUGAGUAACACGUAGAGAACCUUCCUCUUUGAGGGGGAUAGCCCGCCGAAAGGCGGGGUAAUACCGCGUAAGAUUCAUUGAAGGCAUCUUCGAUGAAUGGAACAUCCGCAAGGAUGGCAAGGAGAGGGCUCUGCGGCCUAUCAGCUAGUUGGUGAGGUAACGGCUCACCAAGGCUACGACGGGUAACCGACCUGAAAGGGUGAACGGUCACACUGACACUGAGACACGGGUCAGACUCCUACGGGAGGCUG
rnacentral:rRNA from 1 species